UGUUGCCUUUCAUCGGGGUGAGAUGGUUGUCAACACCUAUACUGUUUAGUUAUACGGGUGAUGUUCUCAUAUUUUUUAUGAUGGUGUUAUACUAAAUCCCUCACGUGAGGGAUUGUGCUUGAUAUUCAUGUAAAGAAGACAUAAUCUUGCAAUCAGUUUAAUUGAGGUAUGAAACUGGAAUGUCAGUAAAUGCUAGUGACCCUUUGUUAAUUGAUGUAUUA
rnacentral:lncRNA from 1 species